rnacentral:rRNA from 1 species
GAUGAACGCUGGCGGCGUGCCUAAUACAUGCAAGUCGAGCGAACGGACGAGAAGCUUGCUUCUCUGAUGUUAGCGGCGGACGGGUGAGUAACACGUGGAUAACCUACAUAUAAGACUGGGAUAACUUCGGGAAACCGGAGCUAAUACCGGAUAAUAUUUUGAACCGCAUGGUUCAAAAGUGAAAGACGGUCUUGCUGUCACUUAUAGAUAGAUCCGCGCUGCAUUAGCUAGUUGGUAAGGUAACGGCUUACCAAGGCAACGAUGCAUAGCCGACCUGAGAGGGUGAUCGGCCACACUGGAACUGAGACACGGUCCAGACUCCUACGGGAGGCAGCAGUAGGGAAUCUUCCGCAAUGGGCGAAAGCCUGACGGAGCAACGCCGCGUGAGUGAUGAAGGUCUUCGGAUCUUAAAACUCUGUUAUUAGGGAAGAACAUAUGUGUAAGUAACUGUGCACAUCUUGACGGUACCUAAUCAGAAAGCCACGGCUAACUACGUG